UACGGGGGGGGCAAGCGUUGUUCGGAAUUACUGGGCGUAAAGGGCUCGUAGGCGGCCAACUAAGUCAGACGUGAAAUCCCUCGGCUUAACCGAGGAACUGCGUCUGAUACUGGAUGGCUUGAGGUUGGGAGAGGGAUGCGGAAUUCCAGGUGUAGCGGUGAAAUGCGUAGAUAUCUGGAGGAACACCGGUGGCGAAGGCGGAUCUCUGGGCCUUACCUGACGCUCAGGUGCGAAAGCUAGGGGAGCGAACAGG
rnacentral:rRNA from 1 species